AAGUAAAAGUCGUAACAAGGUUUCCGUAGGUGAACCUGCGGAAGGAUCAUUAAUGAAACUUCAAAGUCGGCUUGUCAUCUGUGCUGGUGGAGACACAUGUGCACGUUGCAAGUCGCAAAUCCCACACACCUGUGCACCUAUGACUCUGAGUACUGCUUUGCAUGGGCCCCUCAAAGGCCCUGGUACUCGAGUACUUUUACACACUCUGAAUGUAAUGGAAUGUCUAUUGUACAAUGUACAACCAAAACAACUUUCAACAACGGAUCUCUUGGUUCUCGCAUCGAUGAAGAACGCAGCGAAAUGCGAUAAGUAAUGUGAAUUGCAGAAUUCAGUGAAUCAUCGAAUCUUUGAACGCACCUUGCACCCUUUGGUAUUCCGAAGGGUACACCCGUUUGAGUGUCAUUGUAAUCUCACCCCCUUGACUUUUUUGUUGAUCGGUGUGGACUUGGAUGUUGCCGUGUAACAAACGGCUCGUCUGAAAUGCCUGAGUGUACCCUGCUUUGCAGCGUAUUCGGUGUGAUAAAUCUUUACCGGAGUUGACUUUUUCGAGUCGCGCUUGUACCUGUGGGCUCUAUGCUUCCAAACAGUCCUGACAAGGACAAUCUUUGACAAUUUGACCUCAAAUCGGGUGGGACUACCCGCUGAACUUAAGCA
rnacentral:rRNA from 1 species